rnacentral:lncRNA from 7 species
UCUUUUUUUCUUAGGCAAAGCAAUGUGUUGCUGAGAAGCUGUGCCUCCUUUUCCUGAUGAGCCUCCAAACCUCCUGUGCUGCGAGUCAGUGAUGAAAUAACCAUCGUCUGCCUGAAGCUUUUAGUGCUGAACGUGAAAAGUUCUCUGGGCUGCCAGCAGGUGGGACCUGUGAUCAAACAGAAUAUAACAACUUGCACCUGGAUUGCAAGGUUUCCUCUGAGUAUGGAGCUCAGCAUCCCCAUGAAAGGCAAUUGGAAAGCAGGGCAGCUCAAGCUAGGAUUCAGAGCUGUCUUGGCAACUCAGGAUUCAAAGGAUGAAGGAAGCAAUGUCCAUCCUCUCCUGGGUUUACCCCUAUUAAUGAUUGCUGCAGAGCAAACAGGAAAUGUGGUUGUGGUUGUUAACACUGCUCUUUCAACUGAGACCAUCUGAGAUGAAGCACUGGUGUCAGAGCUACUCAGAGUCAAUGAAUUCUCUGUGUAGCUCUUCUGGAAACAAGUAUUACUUGCUUCUCUAGACCUUCUGAAUGUCCUGCAUAAUUAGCUUAAAAUGAAAUAACUGAGUAUCAUCUAGAGCACUGUGGAAAAAGAUCUUACAAACUGCAGAUGUUUCUGGCCUAUCAGUUUCAUAGCAUAAGCUGCAUGACUUGAAUUUUAGUAGUUGCUGCUCUGCUGAGCAGUCCAGCACCUCCUCAUGUCCCAAUUAAUGCACUUAGCUUGCUGUCAAUUCAUGUUUUCUUGCGGCUAGUUGUUCUAGUGCAGUUAAACAGGAAGCAGUGAUGAGGUAUUUCUUUGCAAGAUGUUAUUUUAACAGGCUAUAGUACAGUGCUCUUACUGACACUUUAUGAUAUAUUACAAAAGCAGUGGGAACCAAAAUGCGUUUGCCAAGGUUUGAAAUUAUUCUAAUAUGUUUUGUAGUGUUGUCCUUACUUUUCAUCAUUUCUUUAAUUCCUUUGCAUCCAGAUCCAACAAAGCACUUAAAG